UACGAAGGGGGCUAGCGUUGUUCGGAAUCACUGGGCGUAAAGCGCACGUAGGCGGAUUUGCCAGUCAGGGGUGAAAUCCCGGGGCUCAACCUCGGAACUGCCUUUGAUACAGCAAGUCUUGAGUUCGAGAGAGGUGGGUGGAAUUCCUAGUGUAGAGGUGAAAUUCGUAGAUAUUAGGAAGAACACCGGUGGCGAAGGCGGCCCACUGGCUCGACACUGACGCUGAGGUGCGAAAGCGUGGGGAGCGAACAGG
rnacentral:rRNA from 1 species